GGAGGGGGUUAGCGUUGUUCGGAAUUACUGGGCGUAAAGCGCGCGUAGGCGAUUAGAAAGUUGGGGGUGAAAUCCCGGGGCUCAACCUAGGAACUGCCUCCAAAACUGCUAGUCUAGAGUUCGAGAGAGGUGAGUGGAAUUCCGAGUGUAGAGGUGAAAUUCGUAGAUAUUCGGAGGAACACCAGUGGCGAAGGCGGCUCACUGGCUCGAUACUGACGCUGAGGUGCGAAAGUGUGGGGAGCAAACAGGAUUAGAUACCCUGGUAGUCCACACCGUAAACGAUGAAUGCCAGUCGUCGGGUAGUAUACUAUUCGGUGACACACCUAACGGAUUAAGCAUUCCGCCUGGGGAGUACGGUCGCAAGAUUAAAACUCAAAGGAAUUGACGGGGGCCCGCACAAGCGGUGGACAUGUGGUUUAAUUCGAAGCAACGCCAGAACCUUACCAACCCUUGACAUCCUGUGCUACAUCCAGAGAUGGAUGGUUCCCUUCGGGACCGCAGUGACAGGU
rnacentral:rRNA from 1 species